UACGGAGGGGCCUAGCGUUGUUCGGAAUUACUGGGCGUAAAGCGCACGUAGGCGGAUUUGUAAGUCAGGGGUGAAAUCCCGGGGCUCAACCCCGGAACUGCCUUUGAUACUGCGAAUCUCGAGUCCGGAAGAGGUGAGUGGAAUUCCUAGUGUAGAGGUGAAAUUCGUAGAUAUUCGGAAGAACACCAGUGGCGAAGGCGGCUCACUGGACUGGUAUUGACGCUGAGGUGCGAAAGCGUGGGGAGCAAACAGG
rnacentral:rRNA from 1 species